AAACUCAUACAAAUUUUAUUCUUGUUUUUAACAAAUGUUUUCAGCAAAUUUUAUACAGAAAAAAGCCAUAAAUAAACUAUGGAUUUUUAUUUCUUUAAUUAGCAAUCUGUUUUUAUGAAUAUUAAUGCAGUACAAUGUUCAAUUUUCGAGAAAUAAGAGGAUGCUUUAGAAAAUCUAUGUCAGUAUUGGCAUUUAUCUCACGCGAUUUUGUGUUGCUAAAUUCCUUUGCAUCGUUCGCGUUUUCUGCAUGAUAUAAAAGUAUUUUAUGUGCAAAUUAGUAUUUUGAGUGUAAUGCAUUGAUUAGCGCGUUGUUUUCACACAAUUCACGCCACGCGAGGCACGCCAGGUAGUAGUGAAUGGGUAAACAGCUGACCCGCUAUAGGGAAUCAAUUAAGUUGAGUAACACUAAUUAAUUAUAACACAAGUUGCUACGCGACAUUCAGGUAAAUUUGAGAAAUUCAGUCAAAAUUGAACCGUUCAGCAUUAUUAGUCGAAAAUGAACAACGGUGUAAUAACGAGCGACUGUCAUGGCGUGCUAAUUGGCGCGCGCAUAAUUAACCGCAUUUUCUCGGUCACGUAAUGGUGUAUAGUUCACUUUCAGUUUAUAUCGAGGUCAGCGAUAUCAAUGGGAGUAAUGUUUAAAUUAAUGUCUGUUUACAUAUUAUGUCGGAACUUUUUUAAAACAAUAUAUAACAAUUAAUUUUAUACGUAUAUAAUUUUACAUGUGUAUUUAUGCAUAACUUAUAAGUACUACAAUAAUAAAAUGUUUUUAUUAUGUAAAAAUUGUAUAUAAAAUAAAAUAAAAAAAAUUUUGUGCGUGUUUGAAUUAAAGAGAGAUGUAUCUAUAAUCUCCGAAUAAUUACGAAUAUGGAAUAUUGUUACAGGUCAUCAAACUCGAACAUAUCGAAGAUGAUUCGCCGUAUACGAAAGGGUUCAUCGAUGUGCGCGUUUGCAAUUAAAUGCGGUUUUCAUUCUCGCAUCCACGUGACUUGAUGGACUUGAGGGUCGAACGAGCAGAAAUUAACACUGAUGGAACAGCUGAUGGUGGGAGUCGUUGCGGUGGCUACGUUUUCGGGUGGAUUCGCUUAUGCGAAGAAGGGAAAUUAUAUAAUAUCAACGGAAAUAUGCGCAUCGUUGCGCGGCUGCUAAGAAGAAAGGCAUAAACGUGGCCGCAAACAAUGAGAGACAAGAUCCUGGAUUUAAGCGGGGAACCCCCUGGGUAUCCGCCGGGUGCCUGCCUAGAACCGCGGACAUAUACCUGAGUCCUGGGAAAAAGGUACGGGACUUUCAACUUUUCUAGCGUUUUUUUUUUUUUUUUUUUACGAAGCAUCAAGGGCUCAAAUAAAGUGGCGGGAUUUAAAUAAAGAAGAGAAUUCUAUCGUCGCGCGCUAAAAGGCCCACCCGUUGUCUCCCUCGCGCGGCAAAAAGAUACGUAAAUAAAACGCGAGGACUUUAAUGCAGCAGAUGAAUAUUUGUUAUUUCCUAAUUUAAAAUCUUUCUUUAAUAUGUCAUCAUAUUUUACGCGAAAUGAUGUAAAUAUAAGUUUUUAAUAUGCUGAUAAAACGAAAACAAGAUUUAUUUUAUACUUCUUUCGACAUUUAUUAUUUUUCGUAAGUAUUUUAAAUUAAACGUUUAAUUGACAAAUUCUAGUGAUUGUAGAAUUAUUUGUUUAGUAACUCACUUUUAAGUUAGUUGGCUAUAAAAUAUUUUUACUUUUGAACAUUUCAAAACUUUUCCAGAGUACACUUUAGCAUUUAAUGUGACACAUACUUCCUCAUUCAUUGUAAACUUGAACAUGUCAUCGUACAAAUAUAUGCACAUCUGAGUAUUAUUUUAUUAUCUAACAUAUUAUUCAGCUCUAUACCUUUUGAAUUAUACAAAAUUAAAAAUGGCAUGGAAUUUUGUUAAUGCACUUCUUUAAACAUCCUGACGCUUGGAGAAUUGCUUUUUUGAAAUUUUAAGUAGUUAUUUAAGUAGUUAUUUGAUGAAUUGAAUAUAUUGAAUUGACUAUAGUAAUCCAUAAUUUAAAUUAUAUGCUUUAUCGAUUUUUAUAUUGCAAUUUAUAAACGAAAGGAUUAUGCAUACAUACAAACAUUUAAAUAUAGAUUAGCAAUAAAUUUUUAUUUUAAACCAAAAAAUUUAAUUUUAUAAUAAAAUUUUGUUUUCUUCAAUAAUGUUUAUAUCUUGUAAAUAUAAAAGAAUUAUAAAACGAAUUAUUUUAUUCGUGAAGUAUAAGAUAAAUUAGAAUUCAGAACAUAUACAAUGAUAUAAACAAAAAUUAUAUCUUUGAUUUUAUUAUUCCGAUUUCAAUAUUUAUAUUAUUCAGUCGAGAGAUAUAGUUUAUUUAUAGUAAUCAAAUAAUCUAUUAUGUUAAAGUAUAGAUUACAUAUUUAUGCUAUAUAUUAUGUGUUUAAUACAUGUUUAAAAGAAACACGAUUUAAAUAAUAAAAAUUAUAAUUUUUUAAAAAAGUUUGAUUCUGACUAAUUUUGGCAAAUUACCUUCACUUCUAUUAUACUUGUUUAAAUUUAAAAAAAAAAUCGAAAUAUUGAAGCAUAUGUAUUAUUUGGCAUAAUCAUUGCAAUUUCGGUAUUUUUCGUCGUUGGUAUAUGUAAACUCGAUUAACAAUACCAGCUCGAAACCGACACUGAUGCAGGAUCAGCGACUGCUCGCAGACAGUAUCAAGAUCUAGCGUCAAACUCGAUCAAAAGCCCUGUGAGCUCGUAAACCAGACUCUGUCCCGAGAUAGCGCUCGCCGAAAGCAAGAGAGAGCGAGUAGAAGAUUAGUUAAAGAGAGAGAGACAGCGGUAUCGCGUCAGCCGCGAAGGAGGGAGAGACGGGGAGCGGUGACGCGAUCCGAAAAUCUCUAAAGAAAAUACAGCUGGUAUUUUCUGGUAGUCAGGUAACGGCGGGGUUCCGUCAUUCUGGAAGAAGUUGGCAUCGCGGGAGGAAGAAAAGGGGAUAGGAUA